UUCCUGCUAUUUCCAGCAAAGCGGGAGAAGAGCCGCUGAGUGGGGAGGAGAGAGACAGAGAGCCUGCUUGCUUUAAAGGACCCAACCUCUCCCCUCCCGCUUUGCUCCUUUAAAGAAGCAGGCACUCUGUCCCUCUCUCCUCCCCAUUCAGCGGCUCUUCUCCCGCUGGAAACCACGGAGGA
rnacentral:miRNA from 1 species